AGAGUUUGAUCCUGGCUCAGGACGAACGCUGGCGGCGUGCCUAAUACAUGCAAGUCGAGCGAGCGGAACCAACAGAUUUACUUCGGUAAUGACGUUGGGAAAGCGAGCGGCGGAUGGGUGAGUAACACGUGGGGAACCUGCCCCUAAGUCUGGGAUACCAUUUGGAAACAGGUGCUAAUACCGGAUAAUAAAGCAGAUCGCAUGAUCAGCUUUUGAAAGGCGGCGUAAGCUGUCGCUAAGGGAUGGCCCCGCGGUGCAUUAGCUAGUUGGUAAGGUAACGGCUUACCAAGGCGACGAUGCAUAGCCGAGUUGAGAGACUGAUCGGCCACAUUGGGACUGAGACACGGCCCAAACUCCUACGGGAGGCAGCAGUAGGGAAUCUUCCACAAUGGACGCAAGUCUGAUGGAGCAACGCCGCGUGAGUGAAGAAGGUUUUCGGAUCGUAAAGCUCUGUUGUUGGUGAAGAAGGAUAGAGGUAGUAACUGGCCUUUAUUUGACGGUAAUCAACCAGAAAGUCACGGCUAACUACGUGCCAGCAGCCGCGGUAAUACGUAGGUGGCAAGCGUUGUCCGGAAUUAAUGGGUGUAAAGGGAGCGCAGGCGGGAGCGCAAGUUGGAUGUGAAAUACCGCAGCUUAACUGCGGAGCUGCAUCCAAAACUGUGUUUCUUGAGUGAAGUAGAGGUAGGCGGAAUUCCGAGUGUAGCGGUGAAAUGCGUAGAUAUUCGGAGGAACACCGGCGGCGAAGGCGGCUACCUGGUCUGUAACUGACGCUCAGGCACGAAAGCGUGGGGAGCAAAUAGGAUUAGAUACCCUAGUAGUCCACGCCCUAAACGAAGAAAACUAAGUGUUGGAAUAAUUCAGUGCUGCAGUUAACACAAUAAGUUCUCCGCCUGAGGAGUAUGCACGCAAGUGUGAAACUUAAAGGAAUUGACGGGGGCCCGCACAAGCGGUGGAGUAUGCGGUUUAAUUCGAUGCAACGCGAAGAACCUUACCAGGCCUUGACAUCCCCUGCAAUACUAUAGAGAUAUAGUGGAGGUUAUCAGGGUGACAGGUGGUGCAUGGUUGUCGUCAGCUCGUGUCGUGAGAUGUUGGGUUAAGUCCCGCAACGAGCGCAACCCUUGUUACUAGUUGCCAGCAUUCAGUUGGGCACUCUAGUGAGACUGCCGGUGACAAACCGGAGGAAGGUGGGGACGACGUCAGAUCAUCAUGCCCCUUAUGACCUGGGCUACACACGUGCUACAAUGGACGGUACAACGAGUCGCGAACUCGCGAGGGCAAGCUAAUCUCUUAAAACCGUUCUCAGUUCGGACUGCAGGCUGCAACUCGCCUGCACGAAGUCGGAAUCGCUAGUAAUCGCGGAUCAGCAUGCCGCGGUGAAUACGUUCCCGGGCCUUGUACUCACCGCCCGUCA
rnacentral:rRNA from 1 species